rnacentral:rRNA from 1 species
CCUACGGGAGGCAGCAGUGGGGAAUCUUGCGCAAUGGGCGAAAGCCUGACGCAGCAACGCCGCGUGCGGGAAGAAGGCUUUCGGGCUGUAAACCGCUUUCAGCAGGAACGAAAAUGACGGUACCUGCAGAAGAAGGAGCGGUCAACUAUGUGCCAGCAGCCGCGGUGAUACAUAGGCUUCAAGCGUUGUCCGGAUUUAUUGGGCGUAAAGAGUUCGUAGGCGGUCAAGUAAGUCGGGUGUGAAAAUUCUGGGCUCAACCCAGAGACGCCACCCGAUACUGCUUAACUUGAGUUCGAUAGGGGAGUGGGGAAUUCCUAGUGUAGCGGUGAAAUGCGCAGAUAUUAGGAGGAACACCGGUGGCGAAGGCGCCACUCUGGAUCGAUACUGACGCUGAGGAACGAAAGCAUGGGUAGCAAACAGGAUUAGAUACCCUGGUAGUCCAUGCCGUAAACGGUGGGCACUAGGUGUGGGUUUCUAUUAACGAAAUCCGCGCCGUCGCUAACGCAUUAAGUGCCCCGCCUGGGGAGUACGGUCGCAAGACUAAAACUUAANAGAAUUGAACGG